GGUUGAUCCUGCCGGAGGUCACUGCUAUUGGGAUUCGACUAAGCCAUGCGAGUCGAGAGGGUUCGGCCCUCGGCAGACGGCUCAGUAACACGUGGAUAAUCUGCCCUUAGGUAGAGGAUAACCUCGGGAAACUGAGAAUAAUACUCCAUAGAUCUAGGAUGCUGGAAUGCACUUAGAUUAAAAGUUCCGACGCCUAAGGAUGAGUCUGCGGACUAUCAGGUUGUAGUCAGGGUAAAGACCUGACUAGCCUACAACGGAUACGGGUUGUGAGAGCAAUAACCCGGAGACGAUAUCUGAGACACGAUAUCGGGCCCUACGGGGCGCAGCAGGCGCGAAACCUUCACAAUGUGCGAAAGCACGAUGAGGGAAUCCCAAGUGCUUGCUCGUAAGAGUAAGCUGU
rnacentral:rRNA from 1 species